rnacentral:rRNA from 1 species
CCUACGGGGGGCAGCAGUGAGGAAUAUUGGUCAAUGGCCGGAAGGCUGAACCAGCCAUGCCGCGUGAAGGUCAGUGCCCUAUGGGCGUUAAACUUCUUUUGUGCGGGAGCAAUAAUGGUCACGUGUGGCCAGACGAGAGUACCGUACGAAUAAGCAUCGGCUAACUCCGUUCCAGCAGCCGCGGUAAUACGGGGGAUGCAAGCGUUAUCCGGAUUUAUUGGGUUUAAAGGGUGCGUAGGCUGUGAGGUAAGUCAGCGGUGAAAUGCCCCCGCUCAACGGGGUGAAGUGCCAUUGAUACUGCCUGGCUGGAAUGCGGAUGCCGUGGGAGGAAUGUGUGGUGUAGCGGUGAAAUGCAUAGAUAUCACACAGAACACCGAUUGCGAAGGCAUCUCACGAAGCCGCGAUUGACGCUGAUGCACGAAAGCGUGGGUAUCAAACAGGAUUAGAUACCCCUGUAGUC